CCAAACGAACGCUGAUAACCGUAAGAAACAGAAGACAAAACACAUAAUCGGAUCAAAAUCUUACUCGCAAGUUAGUUUUGAGAAGAGAAACUUGGAAACUGGAGAAGAGCCAGAUUCUAUUGCUCUGUGGGAACUCACCCACACGAAUGAUGGAACAUGGUCUAACACAGAUUCCCAGAAAGUUUACGACAAAGCACUUCAAGAGGUUAAAAUCAAAGAAACUGAAGGUCCACUUUCAAGUGAGCAGAAAAACAAUAUUUUCCAGACCGCUUACAAAGACACUCUGGAAUGCAAGUCAUCGCAGCCUCGUGGGUACGGAUACAUGGC